UUUUGUUUUUGUAAAUAUGUUGUGUAUCUUGUCCUUUAUAAUUGUGUUCUAAAAAAGAAAAAAAAAAAGAUCAAGAAAAGGAAAAAGACAAGACAAGAAAAAAAUAGAAAAAAAAAUGAGAAAUAUAAAAUAAAAUUGAGUAAUGGAGUAAAAAAAGAGGAUUGAAUUAGAGAUUUUGGGUGUAAUUUGAUUGUGUUUUCCCUUGUUCCCCAUUGCUCCUCUAUUUCUUUUGGUUUGUAGCUUCUCAUCCAUAUGUUAU
rnacentral:lncRNA from 1 species